CAGGUAGGACUACCCGCUGAACUUAAGCU
rnacentral:rRNA from 1 species